GAUGAUGCAUUGUAUUGCCUCCUUAAUUAGUUAUGUACUUAUGUUGUAUGAAUCGUUGGUUCAAUGAGUUCUUAAGUAAAAUUUUACUUUGUUUCUAUGGAAGGUACUGUUCGUACUAGGCCAAAUGAGUCCAUCAACAAGAAGAUGAAAACUGGAGUCCUUGAGGUAGUUGCAGAGCAUGUUGAAAUAUUGAAUCCUAUGAGGUCAAAGCUUGGUGUCAGGACUAAUAAGAAGAAGAGAGUCGGUCCGGUUCCGGGAGUGCAAGUAGGAUGGUUGCAGAGCAUGUUGCCACAAAGUCCGCAGCUCUUCAAACAAAUGUUGAUGGUCUCUGGUUUUGACAAAUAUUACCAGAUAGCAAGGCUGCCUGUUGUACCUCCACUGUCGAGGUUCGCCUUUCUGGGAAGCAAAGAAACAUGAAGCACGGUUUCAAGCUUAUGGGUGUAGACAAGGAGAUGGGGAAUGCCGUGAAAAAGGACUUUGAAACUGCCAUCAAGCAUUACUCCACCGCCAUGGAGAUUGACGAUGAAGAAAUCUCUUAGAUCAAAAAUCGUCCUGCUGUCAAGAUCAAAUCGUCAUGCUGUUCAUCUAGAGAUGGGAAAGGUAUAGUCUUUGUGAAUUAAUAGAAACCUUAUUCCAAUUGUGUUUUAUAAGGCAUAGGUUUGAUCGCUAAAAUUAUAGUAUAGACCCAACACAAUUAGAAUAAUUCUUCAGUGUUGUAUUACUUUUGAACAAUAAACAAAAUCUAUCUUAACCAGCAACUUCUUGAUCCUUGGUAAAAAAAGACUAGAGGAUGAUGCAAGCUCUUCAUAUUUUGUGCAACGUUCAGUUCAUGACUCAGGAGGAUGAUAAAGCUGAGGCUCAGGAGGAUGAGAUAGUUGUGAAAGAGCCUGAGGUAGAGAAGAAACAGAACUGGAACCGGAGUUUGGAAAACAGAAGGAGAGGAAGCAGAAAGGUUUCAAGGAUAAAGAGAUGGAUAAUGCUGCGUACACGGACUCGAAAAACUGCUAUUAAGCAUUACUCCAAAAAAGCAUUAGAUAUCAGUGAGAGUGAGAGACAGAAACAGGAAGAGGGAGGCUGCUGAGACAGAGAGGAAUCUCAUAGAAGAAGGCCCGAGACAGAACAGAGCGUCAAGCUGGAGUUGAGAUUCUGGUGCACUACGUUUGAGUGGCGAAGCUGUUAUAGUUCCUAAUGGGGAUAAGUUACUUUCAUGUCUUGGUUGCAUCAACAGCUCUGACCUCUGUGGGCCUUCAAGUCUGGACAGGGUUAGAGCAGAUGGACUGAUUGCCGAGAACAUUUUUUUUUAGGAGACUCCGAACAUGCGUUGAGAUGCUUCUGAGUUAUUACUUUAUAUUUGUAAAUAUCCAAUAAAAUUUUAAAUUAUAUAUAUAUAUACAAUUAUUUACCUACCUGUCCUACGGGCUAACCCGUAUUAUAAUUUUCAAUUGAUUUAGCUAGAAGGUGAAUUAAUUUAUUAGUAUGUAAAAACUAAUUAGUGUAAAGAAAUAAAAUUUGAAAUUCUAUAAAUAAAUAGAGUAUUUUCAUUCAUACCUUAGAUUUUAUUUUAUAAUAUUAAAGUGAAAUAACAGCAAUAAAAAUAAAUAUAAAUCAUUAAUUUUUCUGAUUUUCUGCUAAUUUUGUAUUCUCUAUAAAAUAGAAGAUAGCGAAUGUUACCUCACUUUAAACUCAGACAGAAAAUCUCUAUUAAAAAAAUCAAUAUGAUCUAUAUUUAUUAUUUGUCUAUUUUGUAGAGUCAUUUUAGUUAUAGAGUAUUUAAAAAAAAAAUCAAUAUGAUCUAUAUUUAUUAUUUGUCUAUUUUGUAAAGUCCUUUUAGUUUUAGAGUAUUUUUAAAAAAGCAAUAUGAUCUAUAUUUAUUAUUUAUCUAUUUUGUAGAGUCAUUUUAGUUUUAGAGUAUUUUUAAAAUAAUUUAUAAAAUUAAUAUAUAUUCAAAUAAAAUCCCGCCCGUAGGGCGGGCCGACCCCUAGUGCUCUUAUAAUGUUAAGUGUGUGAUUGGUAAACUUGAGAAUAAAAGAGAAUAAAUAUAUUAGUGAAAAUGAGAGAGAAAUUAAAAAAGUGGAAAGAGGAAAGAGAAUAAUAUUCAGAGUAAAAUCAUGUUGCUUUUGUAAAAUCUGGAAUAAAAUUUAGUGUGCAUUUUUCUGUUUGUAUACAGUAUGUGGAGUAAAUAAUAAAAGUGUAUAUCUUAAUUGGUAACUUUUUGGCUCAACUAAAAAUAAAUAUAUAUCUAAAGUAAAAGUUUACUCCACAAUACCAUACAGUCACAUCCUAAAAGUAUUAACAUAAAAAAAAUAAAAAAAUUAAUACUUACAAUUGGUCAUAAAACAAUGUCUUAAAAACUUGAACAACCCGAUGCUUAUAUGAAUAUCCGGUUCAACCAUGAACCGAUUACAUAACCACUAUAGAUCUAAUAACUGGUUCAAUUAUAAAUUGAUCACAUACCUAGACUGGAUUUCAAAGUUAUAAACUGAAUGCAAUUUUUUAAAACUAUUAAAAAUCUAUAAACCAACUGUAAAAACAAAAAAACAUUUUAUAUUUAUAAUAUUUUAUAUUUAAUAUUUAUCUAUAUAUAAUUCUAUAUCAUAUUUAUUACUAAUAUUUUAAAAUUUUAUGUAUUAAAAAUAUAUAUUAAGCCAAAGUUACUGAACUAGGUUUCAUCUGAUCAAACUAUAUUUAACAGGUUAGUUUUGGUCCGGUUUUAGAGAACAUUGUCAUAAACCCUUGCAAAUUAAUGAACAAUGGGUAUCAAUGACAAAUGUUGCACUGCACCUAGCCAUAAUAUAGAGUUCUGUAACAAGAUUUGACAUCUUCAUCGAAUAUUGUAUAGUAUAAUCCACCGCCAUUACAGUCAAUUUUUUUGAAUAUUUACUUUUUUUCUUGUCAAAAUUCUAUGAAUGUUUUCUGUUGAUACAAAUCUUGGAUUUUUUCUCAUAUGCAAGAAAAUCAAAGUAAGAUUCGUCAUAAUAGCUUUAAUAUCCCAAUUGUAUGUUCAUCGUUAAAUUGAUCCUAUCAAUAUUUUCUAAAUAUAUUAUAUUCAUUGUAUAAGUAUUGUAUUUGACUUUCAUUUCUUUUUACUUUUCAUUCAAUUUCUUAUUUCGGAUUUUGUUCAGUCUAAAUUUUUAGGUACAAUAUUUUUUCUAAUCCUAAGUACAAAGUUUAUAACAAUUCAUCUAUGCACCAUGAUUAUAAAAUACAAAUAGUAACUUGAACUUAUGUGUGAAAACGAAUUUCAAUUAUAAAAUAAAUCUCAAACAACAUAUGCAAAAAAAAAAAAAUCAUUAUCUUGUAGAUAAUAAAAAUAUAUAUUAUAUAGAUAAUAAUAUACAUAUAAUAUAAUAUAAAGUAAAACGUAAAAGUAACAUUAUAUAAGAAACAUAUAUUUAACCUUUCCCAUCAACAAAUCUAUAAAAAUCAAAAAGCUCUUUCUCUAUAAAAAAAAUCUAUAAAAUUACUAUUUACUGCGAAAGCUGCUAAACUAUUUCAUACCUUUUAUAAAAGAUUGUUUAAGAGAUUUGAGGUUGUAAAUAUAAUAUUUGUUUACUGCAAAAUCACUAUUUGCUGCAAAUUUACUAAUUAUUUCAUAUACAUCUAACCGUUUUAAUUUAUCUAAAUUAUUUCAUUGACUAUUGUUUAUAAUUUCUCCGAACUUUCUACUAACCAGAACUUUUUGGUUAUUUGUAUCUAAUUCUUGCAUAUUUAACACUAAAUAAUCAACAUGGUGAAUUAUUUCAAGCCAUAUUAGCCAAUCAAAUUAUUUUUUGAUCUCAGCAAUUAUUGUCGUCUACAUAUCAUUUUUAGAAAAUAUUAUUUGUGUUAUCGUAUAUAUUAUUUUUAGAAAUAUUAUUGGGAUGAAUAAAUUUAAGUUAAUAUUAAAUUAAUUACAUUUGGAAAUCAGAGUACAUAAUAUAUAAUAAGACUGUAGAUAAAUUAAAUCGCAGUAUACAUUAACCAUUUUACUAUAGUUGUUGAUAGAAAGAAAGUCUAAUAAAAUAUUACAAAAGUCGUAUUUAUAUAUUUUUAAAGUACAAUACCAAAAGGUAUAAAUCUUUUUAUUUAGAGAAUAUAUAUCAAAUAAAAUUCUUAUUGAAAUUUGAAAAGUAAAAAUAUAUUAUAAUGUAUCAAUUACAUAAUUAAUAUUAUAUGUAUCAAACUUUAAAAGUUAUUUGUACCUGCGAAUUCGCGGACAACCACCUAGUAAUCAUUAACUGUCAUAUAUAUGUUAAUCAUUUAAGAUAACUCUGUAGUUUUUAUUUAAGAAAAUAAUACAUGUUUCUUUAUAUUUCGAUUUAUUAUAAUGUUUUCUUGUAAUUGGAUUUUGGAUAAAUAUUUUUUUCAAUUAAUUCUUAAGCUGCCACGUAAGAUUAAUUAACAUCUUAAUUGAGUGACAACUCAUCAAAGCUAUUUUGUAAUUAUUACAAACUACAUGUUACAACUUUUUAAAUGUUUCUCUAUUAAUAUAUAGGGAGUUGAAGUCAAUUCAAUUAGAUAUGGGUUUUCGGGUUUGGGUUUUUGCAGUGUUUCAGAUUUUUAAAUUCAACCUCAUAGAUUUCGUUUGAAAAUUAAUUUAGUUUGAGCUGCAUUUAAUUAAUAGUAUUUAGAUUCAGAUAUAAUUUAUAACAUGUGUCAAAAUUUGUAUUGUAACUAUAUUUACUAAAGAUUAUUCUGCGCUAUCCGCGGAUUAUAUAUUUAUGUUAAAUGUGUCUAAUUUUAUUCUUUUGUUUUAUGUUAUUUUUAUUCUAACUUUAAUUCAGAGUAGGCUUUUUAUACCAAUUUCAUAUAAUUUUGUUUGUCUUGUUUAUUUGUUGUUAGAUGAAACGUUCUUUUUUUGCCACUGUAACACAGAGCUUUUGUAAUUAUGUUGUAGAUUACAUCUAAUAAGAACCAAAAAAAGUACCAUGAUUCACAAUAAAUAUAAUAAAGGUUGUUUGAGAUUUUUCCCUUCUUUGUCUUUUUUUUUGAGCAACCCCCCUUCUUUGUCUUUCAACUUGUCUAUCUCUUAUUUUUCAUGAUGUAAUCUCUUUUAACUCUAUUUUUGUUAGUUUUCUGAUCAAACUUGUAAUAAUUUAUAUGGAGUUGAAAUAAAAUCGUAUUGAUGAU